rnacentral:rRNA from 1 species
GACGAACGCUGGCGGCGUGCUUAACACAUGCAAGUCGAACGGAGAGGCCCUGCUUUUGUGGGGUGCUCGAGUGGCGAACGGGUGAGUAACACGUGAGUAACCUGCCCUUGACUUUGGGAUAACUUCAGGAAACUGGGGCUAAUACCGGAUAGGAGCUCCUGCUGCAUGGUGGGGGUUGGAAAGUUUCGGCGGUUGGGGAUGGACUCGCGGCUUAUCAGCUUGUUGGUGGGGUAGUGGCUUACCAAGGCUUUGACGGGUAGCCGGCCUGAGAGGGUGACCGGCCACAUUGGGACUGAGAUACGGCCCAGACUCCUACGGGAGGCAGCAGUGGGGAAUAUUGCACAAUGGGCGGAAGCCUGAUGCAGCAACGCCGCGUGCGGGAUGACGGCCUUCGGGUUGUAAACCGCUUUCGCCUGUGACGAAGCGUGAGUGACGGUAAUGGGUAAAGAAGCACCGGCUAACCACGUG